UAAAGGGUAAGUACCUAUCCCACGUAUACACUACCCGUUGAAAUAACACUCACGAUAUAAUGUUAUAUAGAACCGUGUAAACACAAUACACGGAUACAUUAUAAUAAUAUUAUUUCGUUUUUUCACCCACAUCGUUUUUAUUCGUGUCCUCGUAGUCGUCUUCAGAGGUGUUGUACAAAGAAAAUUAAUCUCACUAAUAUUAUUAUCAUACCUACCGAUUUGGAGUGCCGUGUGAGAGCGAUGGAAAUCCG